rnacentral:rRNA from 1 species
UACGUAGGGGGCUAGCGUUGUCCGGAAUCAUUGGGCGUAAAGCGCGCGUAGGCGGCCAGAUAAGUCCGGUGUGAAAGUCACAGGCUCAACCUGUGAAUGCCGCUGGAAACUGUCUGGCUAGAGUCCGGAAGGGGCGAGUGGAAUUCCUGGUGUAGCGGUGAAAUGCGCAGAUAUCGGGAAGAACACCCGUGGCGAAAGCGGCUCUCUGGGACGGUACUGACGCUGAGACGCGAAAGCGUGGGGAGCGAACAGG